AACGAACGCUGGCGGCAGGCCUAACACAUGCCAGUCGAGCGGACCCUUCGGGGUUAGCGGCGGACGGGUGAGUAACGCGUGGGAAUAUGCCCUUCUCUACGGAAUAGUCCUGGGAAACUGGGGGUAAUACCGUAUACGCCCUUUGGGGGAAAGAUUUAUCGGGGAAGGAUUAGCCCGUGUUGGAUUAGAUAGUUGGUGGGGUAAUGGCCUACCAAGCCGACGAUCCAUAGCUGGUUUGAGAGGAUGAUCAGCCACACUGGGACUGAGACACGGCCCAGACUCCGACGGGAGGCAGCAGCGGGGAAUCUUGGGGGAUGGGGGCAAGGGUGAUCUAGCCAUGGGGGGUGCGGGAAGAAGGACUUCGGGGGGUAAAGUGAUGUUGUUCGGGAAGAAAUAAGCCGCGCUAAUACGGCGGGGUGAUGACGGUACCGGAAGAAGAAGCCCCGGCUAACUCCGUG
rnacentral:rRNA from 1 species